rnacentral:rRNA from 1 species
GAUGAACGCUGGCGGCGUGCCUAAUACAUGCAAGUCGAACGAAACUUCUUUAUCAUCGAGUGCUUGCACUCACCGAUAAAGGGUUGAGUGGCGAACGGGUGAGUAACAUGUGGGCAACCUGCCCAAAAGAGGGGGCUAACACUAGGAAACAGGUGCUAAUACCGCAUAACCAUAGUUACCGCAUGGUAACUAUGUAAAAGGUUGCUAUACUACCGCUGCUGGAUGGGCCCGCGGCGCAUUAGCUAGUUGGUAGGGUAAAGGCUUACCAAGGCAAUGAUGCGUAGCCGAAUUGAGAGGUUGAUCGGCCACAUUGGAACUGAGACACGGCCCAAACUCCUACGGGAGGCAGCAGUAGGGAAUCUUCCGCAAUGGGCGAAAGCCUGAUGGAGCAACGCCGCGUGGGUGAAGAAGGUCUUCGGAUCGUAAAACCCUGUUGUUAGAGAAGAAAGUGUGUGAAAGUAACUGUUCACGUUUCGACGGUAUCUAACCAGAAAGCCACGGCUAACUACGUG